GGGUGACGAGUGGCGGACGGGUGAGUAAUGUCUGGGGAUCUGCCCGAUAGAGGGGGAUAACCACUGGAAACGGUGGCUAAUACCGCAUAACGUCGCAAGACCAAAGAGGGGGACCUUCGGGCCUCUCACUAUCGGAUGAACCCAGAUGGGAUUAGCUAGUAGGCGGGGUAACGGCCCACCUAGGCGACGAUCCCUAGCUGGUCUGAGAGGAUGACCAGCCACACUGGAACUGAGACACGGUCCAGACUCCUACGGGAGGCAGCAGUGGGGAAUAUUGCACAAUGGGCGCAAGCCUGAUGCAGCCAUGCCGCGUGUAUGAAGAAGGCCUUCGGGUUGUAAAGUACUUUCAGCGGGGAGGAAGGCAGUGAGGUUAAUAACCUUAUUGAUUGACGUUACCCGCAGAAGAAGCACCGGCUAACUCCGUGCCAGCAGCCGCGGUAAUACGGAGGGUGCAAGCGUUAAUCGGAAUUACUGGGCGUAAAGCGCACGCAGGCGGUCUGUUAAGUCAGAUGUGAAAUCCCCGGGCUUAACCUGGGAACUGCAUUUGAAACUGGCAGGCUUGAGUCUCGUAGAGGGGGGUAGAAUUCCAGGUGUAGCGGUGAAAUGCGUAGAGAUCUGGAGGAAUACCGGUGGCGAAGGCGGCCCCCUGGACGAAGACUGACGCUCAGGUGCGAAAGCGUGGGGAGCAAA
rnacentral:rRNA from 1 species